CGCACAUUGCGCCCGCCAGUAUUCUGGCGGGCAUGCCUGUUCGAGCGUCAUUUCAACCCUCAAACCCCCGGGUUUGGUGUUGGGGAUCGGAUUGCUAGUCAGUCCGCCUCCGAAAUCUAGUGGCGGUCUCGCUGCAGCCUCCAUUGCGUAGUAGAAAUAUCUCGCAAUCGGAACGCGGCGCGGCCAUGCCGUUAAACAACCCAAUUUCUGAAUGUUGACCUCGGAUCAGGUAGGAAUACCCGCUGAACUUAA
rnacentral:misc_RNA from 1 species